rnacentral:rRNA from 1 species
GGGUUGUGAGGUUAAGCGACUAAGCGUACACGGUGGAUGCCCUGGCAGUCAGAGGCGAUGAAGGACGUGCUAAUCUGCGAUAAGCGUCGGUAAGGUGAUAUGAACCGUUAUAACCGGCGAUUUCCGAAUGGGGAAACCCAGUGUGAUUCGUCACACUAUCAUUAACUGAAUCCAUAGGUUAAUGAGGCGAACCGGGGGAACUGAAACAUCUAAGUACCCCGAGGAAAAGAAAUCAACCGAGAUUCCCCCAGUAGCGGCGAGCGAACGGGGAGGAGCCCAGAGCCUGAAUCAGUGUGUGUGUUAGUGGAAGCGUCUGGAAAGGCGCGCGAUACAGGGUGACAGCCCCGUACACAAAAAUGCACAUGCUGUGAGCUCGAUGAGUAGGGCGGGACACGUGGUAUCCUGUCUGAAUAUGGGGGGACCAUCCUCCAAGGCUAAAUACUCCUGACUGACCGAUAGUGAACCAGUACCGUGAGGGAAAGGCGAAAAGAACCCCGGCGAGGGGAGUGAAAAAGAACCUGAAACCGUGUACGUACAAGCAGUGGGAGCACGCUUAGGCGUGUGACUGCGUACCUUUUGUAUAAUGGGUCAGCGACUUAUAUUCUGUAGCAAGGUUAACCGAAUAGGGGAGCCGAAGGGAAACCGAGUCUUAACUGGGCGUUAAGUUGCAGGGUAUAGACCCGAAACCCGGUGAUCUAGCCAUGGGCAGGUUGAAGGUUGGGUAACACUAACUGGAGGACCGAACCGACUAAUGUUGAAAAAUUAGCGGAUGACUUGUGGCUGGGGGUGAAAGGCCAAUCAAACCGGGAGAUAGCUGGUUCUCCCCGAAAGCUAUUUAGGUAGCGCCUCGUGAAUUCAUCUCCGGGGGUAGAGCACUGUUUCGGCAAGGGGGUCAUCCCGACUUACCAACCCGAUGCAAACUGCGAAUACCGGAGAAUGUUAUCACGGGAGACACACGGCGGGUGCUAACGUCCGUCGUGAAGAGGGAAACAACCCAGACCGCCAGCUAAGGUCCCAAAGUCAUGGUUAAGUGGGAAACGAUGUGGGAAGGCCCAGACAGCCAGGAUGUUGGCUUAGAAGCAGCCAUCAUUUAAAGAAAGCGUAAUAGCUCACUGGUCGAGUCGGCCUGCGCGGAAGAUGUAACGGGGCUAAACCAUGCACCGAAGCUGCGGCAGCGACACUAUGUGUUGUUGGGUAGGGGAGCGUUCUGUAAGCCUGUGAAGGUGUGCUGUGAGGCAUGCUGGAGGUAUCAGAAGUGCGAAUGCUGACAUAAGUAACGAUAAAGCGGGUGAAAAGCCCGCUCGCCGGAAGACCAAGGGUUCCUGUCCAACGUUAAUCGGGGCAGGGUGAGUCGACCCCUAAGGCGAGGCCGAAAGGCGUAGUCGAUGGGAAACAGGUUAAUAUUCCUGUACUUGGUGUUACUGCGAAGGGGGGACGGAGAAGGCUAUGUUGGCCGGGCGACGGUUGUCCCGGUUUAAGCGUGUAGGCUGGUUUUCCAGGCAAAUCCGGAAAAUCAAGGCUGAGGCGUGAUGACGAGGCACUACGGUGCUGAAGCAACAAAUGCCCUGCUUCCAGGAAAAGCCUCUAAGCAUCAGGUAACAUCAAAUCGUACCCCAAACCGACACAGGUGGUCAGGUAGAGAAUACCAAGGCGCUUGAGAGAACUCGGGUGAAGGAACUAGGCAAAAUGGUGCCGUAACUUCGGGAGAAGGCACGCUGAUAUGUAGGUGAAGUCCCUCGCGGAUGGAGCUGAAAUCAGUCGAAGAUACCAGCUGGCUGCAACUGUUUAUUAAAAACACAGCACUGUGCAAACACGAAAGUGGACGUAUACGGUGUGACGCCUGCCCGGUGCCGGAAGGUUAAUUGAUGGGGUCAGCGCAAGCGAAGCUCUUGAUCGAAGCCCCGGUAAACGGCGGCCGUAACUAUAACGGUCCUAAGGUAGCGAAAUUCCUUGUCGGGUAAGUUCCGACCUGCACGAAUGGCGUAAUGAUGGCCAGGCUGUCUCCACCCGAGACUCAGUGAAAUUGAACUCGCUGUGAAGAUGCAGUGUACCCGCGGCAAGACGGAAAGACCCCGUGAACCUUUACUAUAGCUUGACACUGAACAUUGAGCCUUGAUGUGUAGGAUAGGUGGGAGGCUUUGAAGUGUGGACGCCAGUCUGCAUGGAGCCGACCUUGAAAUACCACCCUUUAAUGUUUGAUGUUCUAACGUUGACCCGUGAUCCGGGUUGCGGACAGUGUCUGGUGGGUAGUUUGACUGGGGCGGUCUCCUCCUAAAGAGUAACGGAGGAGCACGAAGGUUGGCUAAUCCUGGUCGGACAUCAGGAGGUUAGUGCAAUGGCAUAAGCCAGCUUGACUGCGAGCGUGACGGCGCGAGCAGGUGCGAAAGCAGGUCAUAGUGAUCCGGUGGUUCUGAAUGGAAGGGCCAUCGCUCAACGGAUAAAAGGUACUCCGGGGAUAACAGGCUGAUACCGCCCAAGAGUUCAUAUCGACGGCGGUGUUUGGCACCUCGAUGUCGGCUCAUCACAUCCUGGGGCUGAAGUAGGUCCCAAGGGUAUGGCUGUUCGCCAUUUAAAGUGGUACGCGAGCUGGGUUUAGAACGUCGUGAGACAGUUCGGUCCCUAUCUGCCGUGGGCGCUGGAGAACUGAGGGGGGCUGCUCCUAGUACGAGAGGACCGGAGUGGACGCAUCACUGGUGUUCGGGUUGUCAUGCCAAUGGCACUGCCCGGUAGCUAAAUGCGGAAGAGAUAAGUGCUGAAAGCAUCUAAGCACGAAACUUGCCCCGAGAUGAGUUCUCCCUGACUCCUUGAGAGUCCUGAAGGAACGUUGAAGACGACGACGUUGAUAGGCCGGGUGUGUAAGCGCAGCGAUGCGUUGAGCUAACCGGUACUAAUGAACCGUGAGGCUUAACCUUACAACGCCGAAG